GGGAUGUGAUGGUUCGGUAUUGCUUGAUGGAUCGGCGAGUGGUCCAAGCGAGCAGGACGCCCCUCCCAACCUGACCUUGAGAGCAAAGGCGUUUGAGAUCAUCGAAGACCUACGCCGGCGCGUGGAAAAGGCUUGCGGCCUUGUCGUCUCCUGUUCUGAUAUUCUUGCGCUUGCAGCCCGUGACUCUGUUUACCUGGUGAGUCGACUUGAAUCACUCUCUGUUAUCGUAGUUUUUGAUAAUGAUCCUAGCUAGCUAGCAUGGAGCACAUGAUUUAAUACCAUCUCCUGUAUCGUUAGAUACACAUCCGUAUAUAGUCCAGCCAUAUUCUUGAGAGUCGAGUCUAAAUCGAGAUUUUUUUUUUGAAAAAUAGCUUUUUUCCAUAUUUUUUUUUGAAAAAGUAGAGUAAUUGAUUUUUUUCCCCAAAAAAUAGCACACUUAAUAAAUUAAUUUGAAAACAAUGUAAUUAAUUAUCUUUCUUUAGGAAAUAUAGGAAUGAGAUUUGGGUUCAUUGAUUUUAAUAAUAUUAUUAAAAAUUAGCCUAGUUAUGGCUCUUGUUAGAUGUCAAGUAACUUAUUUUUAUAACAUAAAAAUAAUAUAUUGAGAAAUUAAACGUUCAGUAUAAAGCUUAGAUUUUUAAAAUAAAAUUGAAUUUUAAUUAUCCAAAUUUAUUAUGGUAUUUCAGGAAUAAGUGUUAAAUAAUUAAUUGCACAUGAAAUAAUUACAAAUAGAAGAUUACGAGUAAGUCAAGUCUUUCUGUCCCCCAUAUAAUAUAUGUCCUGCAACUAGGGGCAUAAAAUGUGACUGAUAAGACCAGAUAAGCUUAUCCAAUGUUAUUUUCAGAGCUUAGAUAUCCGCCUGUCGAUUUCUAUCCAGUUAGUUGAUCAGUGAUUGCGAGAGGCAAAUUAAUUCCUCAUAAUCUUUUAAAAUCCUAUUAAUUCUCGUUUGGUUCUGUAUUUUAAAAACAUUUUUAAAAUUUUUUUUUUUUUUUUAUUUUAAAUUAAUAUUUUUUUAGUAUUUUCCGUUUAUUUUGAUGGAUUGAUGUUAAAAAUAAUUUUUAACAAAUAAAAAUAAUAAUUUUUUAAUACUUUUUUAAGUGAAAAACAAUCAUACUCUCAAACACACUAAAUAUUAUAAUUAGUAGCGAUUGUUUAUUUAAAUAUUUUUUACUUAAAAAUAUAUUAAAAUAAUAUUUUUUUAAAUUUAUUUUGACUUUAAUAUUAAUAUAUUAAAAUAAUCUAAAAAUACUUAAAAAAAAAUACUCUUUCCCAGCAAAAUUAUUAUUAUGACUUUCUUGUGACUUGUCAUGAUCAUUAAACACAUAUAAAGGGUGUGUAUAUGCAUGCCUCCUUGAGUUCUGCUUUUUUAUUUUCAAAUUAAGUUUUAGAUAUUUUUAUGUUGAUAAUAAUUUUUUUAUUCUUUUUUUUUUUAAAAAAACAUUUUGUAUCACAUUCUCCGUGUGUGUGUAAUGAAUCAAUAAAAUUUCUUUCGGUAACAAGUCAUUACUCAUAACCAAAGCUAAUCCUUUUUAACUUCUAUGCAUUUUUUCUACUGCAGUCUGGUGGCCCAGAUUAUAAUGUUCCCUUGGGAAGGCGAGACGGUCUAAAAUUUGCAACUCAAAAUGAAACCUUAGACAACCUCCCGCCACCCUUUGCUAACGCCGACACAAUUCUCUCAUCUCUCGCCACCAAGGGCUUCGAUGCCACCGACGUGGUAGCCCUGUCCGGUGGCCACACCAUUGGUAUAAGUCACUGCAGCUCUUUCACUGACCGCCUCUAUCCAACCCAAGAUCCUACAAUGGACAAAACCUUUGCCAACAAUCUCAAGGAAGUUUGCCCCACAAGAGACUUCAAUAACACAACCGUGUUGGAUAUUCGAUCUCCUAAUAAAUUUGACAACAAGUACUAUGUUGAUCUCAUGAAUCGCCAAGGCCUGUUUACUUCAGACCAGGACUUGUACACGAACAAGAAGACAAGGGGCAUUGUCACUAGCUUUGCUGUUAAUCAAAGUUUGUUCUUUGAUAAGUUUGUGGUUGCAAUGAUCAAAAUGUCACAGCUCAAGGUCUUGACAGGAAAUCAAGGUGAAAUCCGCGCCAGUUGCGAGGAGAGAAAUUCAGGCUACAGUUACUUGGAGUCUGUGGUGGAAGAGGGUCUCGACGCACUGUCCGGAUUAAUAUGAAAGAAGUAAAUUCUAAUAACAUGAAAGGCCAAAUUCCAAUAGCUAGAUAAAAAAUGUUGGGUCGUUGUGCACUUGUUAAUUAUGGGUUUGUUGCUGUUUUUUUUUUUUUUUACAAAAUGCUGAUGCUAUCUUCUUCUGACAACCUCAAUUCUGCUUGUUAUUAAUAAAAUAGUCGAGGAUGUAACAUAUGAGUUUGGAUGGCUAAUAGGACGUUGGCUUUGUCAAAGUUUUAUAAUUUAUAAUUACGGUUUGUUCUUGACUAAAGAUGAGAUUUGUGUUCCUAGUGAUUAGCCCUCUGCCAUUGCUCUCUUUGUGUCAAGGCUAAGCAAAUCCCAAAUGGGCAUGCGUUUUAGUUUUCCAAAUAGUGUCUAUGGCCCAUCGAUCCGUGUCACAAAUUUUUAGUUACAUUCCUGGAUUGGACCAUCUGAUAUGCUUUAAUCAAGAUUUUUUUUUAAUUUUUUAAGCUCGACUAGUGUAGAUCAAAUGAUCAAGUUUUAGAUUUACUUUUCAAAACUCACCGAUUCGAGUACCACAAACCUUAGGUCACUGAAAACUUACAUGAUCGUCAACUUCAGGGUCUUAAAAAAUUAGUUGAGUUGUGUGUAAAUUAGCCCGAACACCUACUAUCAACAAAAAAAAAAAUAAAUAAAUCCAAGUCCUUUUUUAAUGCAUCCUAAGAAUCAAAUUCAAAAGAGACUAAAACUAUGCAAACAUUCAAUUUUCCUUAUAAACAUUACAUGUAUACGGCUAAGAUAUUGAUCACUCAACCUCCCUAUGAACAAUAUAAUUUUAUUUCUAAAGGGUUUGAACAGUUCAAUGUUCCGUAGAAAUAUUGCAAACAACCAGCCAAGUUCCUAUUCUCUAUGUUGUUGUUGUUGUUUUAUUUUUAAUAUCAUUUUUAUUUGUCAAUAUCAUACCCAGAAGGAAAAAAUAAAAAAGCCUAUCAGAGACUAAUCAUUACUCUGCCAUAAACACUGCUCCACCACUAGAAAGAGCUCAUCUAAAAUAUUGUAAAAUAACAUUGAAAGAAGCCGCAGACACCAUCAACGCAACAACCCAUAAAGCAAAUCAAACAAAAUAUUAUGAAGUAAAUAUCCUAUACUUAUAUAUAAUCAAUUAAUUUAAUUUAAUUCUAAAAUAUAUUUUUUUAAAAAGCUAAAUUUAACAAGGAUGAAAAAUAAAAAGACCCCAAAUAACCCGAGUUAUUUUUAAAAUUAGUACAAAAUCCCAUAGAAAACAAAUAAAAAAAUAACAUAGCCAAUAUUCAAUUAAACAUGAAGGAUGAAAUUGAAAAACUAUGAGCUUAAAAAAAAGGAAAAAAAACAAGCAAACUUGGAUGUAUCUUUUAAACUUGGGCUAAUCUUCCAAACUUAUAACCCAUGAAAUCCUAGACCCAGAUUCGAUCAAAAAGCUCAAUUCCAACCAAUUUUAUGUUGAAGGAUGAAAUAUGAAAAAAAAAUCAAUUUAAAAGUUUUUCAAAGUAAAAAAAUAACAAUAAAAAGAAAGAAUAUCAAAUCUAAUAUAAAAAAACUAAUGAAGGAUAAUAUUGUAAAAAAAAUCAAUUUUAAAAUGAUCUCAAACAAACAAAUAGUAAUCAAAAGAAUGUGAACCAAAUCUGACACGCGAAAACAAUUAAAAAAGGAUGAAAUUGAAAUCGUUUUAUAGUUUUAUAAAUUAUUUCAAAUAAAAAAUAUAUCAUAUUUAAUUAGUUUAUUGGUUUUAAAUGUCAAGUGGUGUGAGGUAAAGAAUUAUGAAAAUAAUCUAACACAUGUUUUGUCAUUUUAUCGUAGCAAGUUAGAUAGACAUCUGUAGUAUAUGAGAUAUCCAUUACUAAUUUAAUUAUUUUUAUAUAAAAUAUAUGUAUAGUUAAUUUAAUUAUUGAUGUUGCUAUAUGUUGUGUGUGGAAUCCUUAUUCAGAAGAUGUUCUGUUAGUUGCUCCUCCUAUACACACACACUAGAUAAGGGACUUAUGGACAAUUGCGGUCUCACUCAUCUUUUUUGAGCUUGUUGAGUUGUAGUGCCUGGAUCAAGUGAUGUGAUCGUCUGGUUGGCAGUAACAUAUCUCGGUCGAUAAAGAUACAAGUGAAACACUGUAUGCCAUUAGUUGGGAGGGUAGGCAUUAUGAUUAUAAUCAGAUGACCCACCAUUUCCAUUAUAUAGCAUAAUGGGAUGCAUGAGGGGAUGUGAUCUUUAUGGAGGUGUAAUAUAUUAUUUCAAAGGAUGAAUACAUAGAGUGGUAUUGGGGUAUAACACGACAUAUCAUCGUACCAAACCCGGUGCAAGUUCCUUCACGCAAGAACAUGGAGUAUGAACCAAAUGCAUAAUGAAUCAAAAUGAUGUAUGUGUUUCAUAGAUUUUAUAGUUAAUAUAUGAUUUUAAAUGUAUUUUAUUUAUCGACUAAUAAUUGUAUUUUCUAAAAAGUUGAGAUUUUAUUACGAGAUAGUUGGGAAGUUGUUGUUGAUCUUUGUGAGAUCAAAUAUAAUACACUUGCCCAUUAUUAUGCAUGUCGUUGGUUCGACUCAAGCACACUACACUUGAUAUGUUUGGAGAGAUAAUAUGUCUGGAUGAUGUUGUGUUGAAGGAUGAGAUGACUCACAUACCAAGAAGCCUUGCUAUUGAUGAAGCUGACUCAUCGACUUCUCGUCAUAGACGUGGAUAUACUAGGAUAUAUGUAGAGAGUAGAAUUGUGUUGUGUUUUUUUUAGUAAUGCAUUUUAUUUAAUGUGUGUUUUAUUAUACUUUUAUAAUUGUUUUGGACUUGUUAUGUUGAGAUUUUAAUAUUGCCUUCCAUAUUAUGGACUAGGGGUGUUCAUUUUCGAUUCUGUUCGGUUUUUAUCAAAAAAAGUAACCAAACCGAAUUUUUUUUUAAAAAAACCGAAACUGGACCGAACCAGUUCAAACCGACCGGUUUCGGUUCGGUUUUUUAGAACAAAAACCGGUUCAAACCGGUUUGGCUUGGUUUUUUUGGUUUGGCUCGGUUUUGGCUCGGUUUUUUUCUGGUUUGGCUCGGUUUUUUUCUGUUUUUUUCGAUCGCUUUAAUCAGUUUUUUUUCACGGUUCGGUUUUUUCGGUUAUUUUUUUUUCCAGUUUUUUCGGUUUUUUGAUUUUUUUGAAUACCCCUAUUAUGGACAUUUAAAUUUAUUUUGGACAAGCACAUAAAAUUUAGAAUCUAAAGUAAAAAAAUUACAAGUGAACAUGCCAUCAACAACAUCUAGUUGUUUAUAAUUGCAAAGCAAGCAUUUACAAGUUAACAAAUGUGACAGCAUUUAUAGGUGAGCGAAUACAACAUAUUGUUAUGUUACAUUAUUGAAAAGAUCAAAUAACAUUAUAAUAAAAGAAAGAAAAACAACAUUAAAACAUUACAUCAAAAUAAAGAAAUUUUAAUGCUAUUUUUGCGCUUUUUAAACCUAAAAAUAUCCCACCUAUUUUUGUUUUUUAGGUCUAUGGUGUGUUUGUAGGGUUUGAAUUUACUAUUAAUAGUAUUUAGAGAUUACGAGUUUGUAUUUAUGAUUUAGAGUUUAAAUUUAAGAGUUUGGGGGUUUAAGGAUAGAGAUUAUGAGUUUGAGUUUUGGAAUUAAAAGUUCAAGGUUUAUGGUUAAGGAUUAGUGGUUUGGAUUAAAGAGUUUGAGGUUUAUAAUUAUGAAUGAUUGGUUUGUGGUAUGAAUUUAAAAGUUUGGGGUUGGGGAUUAGGGAUUAGGGUUAAGAAUAAUGAAUUUAAGAUUUGGGUUUAAGAGUUUUGAGUUUUGGGAUUUAUGGUUAGGGAUUAAGGGUUUGAGAUUUUUAUUUGAGGUUAAUUUGGGGGCAGGGUAUAUAGUUUAGGGUUUGUAUUUGGAUUUAAUUUAAGGUUAUGGUAGUUUAGAGUUUUAAUUAAAGACGGGAAUCCUAUUCAUGUGUGUAAGUUAAAGACGCGAAUGGAUUUAUUUUGCAAUUUUUUUUGGCUAAGUGUGUUAGAAAGGAAAAUACCCACUGAUUAUCCAAGACGGACAAGUCUUCUCAAUAGACGUUCAUUAAUGGAAUAGAUCUUUUCACAGUAGCAUAGCUGGUGGUAAUGUUUUGAAAGUGCAGUACUCAAUGUUAGGCGGCUCAAUUUUUUUUUUGGUAGUAUUUGUGGAUGCUAUGAUCAUUGGUGAUAAUUUAUUUUAUUUUAAUAUUCUUAAAUUUAUUUUGUAUGCUAAGUAACAUGUUUGGCAGUGUAAUAAUUAUUGCUUUUCAAAUAAUUUUUUGUACCGAAAUGCACAUCAAUGAUUUUUUUAUUUUUUAAAAAUUAUUUUUAAUAUCAGCACAUCAAAAUGAUCCAAAACAUAUAAAUCAUAUUAAAUUUUUUUAAAAAUAAAUUUAAAUUUUUUAGGAAUAUAAUUUAUACCUGUUCGCAAACAGUUUCCUCAAUCAAUUUUUCUUCCUUUCACACAGUACCAAUUUUAAAAAAGUCGACCUUUUUAAUAUUAUCUUCCCGAUACAUAGGCAAUAAGGUCGGAAGAAUCUGAGAAGGGAGAAAUUGUCAAUAGCGCGUGGUUUGACGUCAAUUCCGUGCGACAAAAGAUAAAAUGAACUUCUUUGGUUCGGGUUAAAGAGACAAAAAAAAAGAACAACUUUUCUUCCGUGCUAAGUUGACAGAAGGUUUGCAAGAUGCUACGCUCCUGUUAUCCUCCUUCCUUUGUUUUAUCCAUUUCACACUUGAUUUUGUUUUUUUUUUUUCAACCAUCAUAUUCAUAAUACCUCAUUUUUAUCCUCCAAAUUUUUUUUAUUUGUGCAAUAUAAAAAUAUUAUGAGAUUUUAUUUAAUAAUUUAAAAUUUUUAAAUUAAAAUAUUUUUUAUAUGAUAUUUUAAUUUUAACAAAAAAAUCAUCAUGAGUUCAGAUUCUAUCAAUUUAUUUUUCUAAUCAACUUAAAAAAUCCAACAUAAUAAGUCUAUAUAAAUCUUAAAACUGAGAACUUUAUCUUGAAAAAAAUCGUUGAAAAAUCAGCACAAGACAACAAUAAAUAUCUAUAAACCUCAAAUAACAUCACAAGUUGUAUAACAAUAGGAUUAAAGGUGUUUUUGGCCGCACGUUUUCAUUGGAGUUUUUAAAAUUCUUGAUUUUUUUUGUUUUAAAUUGUUUUAAUAUGGUAAUAUCAAAAAUAAAUUAUAAAAAUAAAAAUAUUAUUUUAAUAAUUUUCUAAACCAAAAAACACUUUGAUUAUCCUAUCUCAAACACCAAAUAACAAGAUUAUACGUGUGUGUACACGAUGGGAUGUGGCCACCACGUGAACUUCUACUUUUCCAACCUACCUCUCAAGAGUCUAAAAGCCCAAGUCAAUAAAUUCGAGAGUGUUACAAAACUUCGAACAGGGGAUAAACAAUUCAAACUACUAGCACAACGUGAGACUUCUCAUUGCCUAUAAAGAAGCACCUUCUUUAGCUAACCAGGACAUUAGAAACCAAACCAUGGCUAUUACUGCUAAAUCCUUCACUUUUCUUCUGAUUUCUUCUCUCUUCCUAGUUUCUUGUUUUUGUGCCAAGGAGGCACGGGACACCUUUCCUGUAGUGAAUGGUCUCUCAUGGUCGUUCUACGACUAUAGCUGUCCUAAAGCUGAAUCAAUUAUAAGAAAACAGCUCAAGAAAGUUUUCAAGAAUGAUAUUGGCCAAGCUGCCGGCUUGCUUCGUCUCCAUUUCCACGACUGCUUUGUUCAGGUAACAAAGUAAUAAUAAUAAAAAAACAGUAUCAAAGACUUUCCGGUAUAAAAAAACAGUAUCAAAAAACAAUGCUAUAUUAAUAUGAUUUUAUUUUGAUCGGUGAAAUUACAGGGAUGUGAUGGCUCAGUGUUGCUUGAUGGAUCGGCGAGUGGUCCAAGCGAGCAGGACGCCCCUCCCAACCUGACCUUGAGACCAAAGGCAUUUGAGAUCAUCGACGACCUACGCGAGCGCAUACACAAGGAGUGUGGCCGAGUGGUCUCUUGUGCUGAUAUUGCCGCAAUUGCUGCCCGUGAUUCUGUUUACCUGGUAACCACUUGAAUUACUCUCUAUAUUACGUACAAAGCUUUGUCAUUGACCAUGUUAAACAUCAUACCAUUUAUAUCCAAGCACUGAAAAUUUAUGAUGUCUGUCAAUUUUUAUCCAGUUGAGUGAUUGCGCAGGAAGCAAAUCUGAUUUGAGUAGUUGUUACAUUUAUCAUCUUGUAACUCGUCCAGCAUACUGAACUUAAUUAAUGAACUAGAUAGAAAAGGGAGGCUAAUUUUAUUUUUAAUUUUAAACUGGGUCAUGAUUUUUAGUCGAGACCACACACUUCUAUAGCCAUGAAAAUUUGGAAGUGUGUAGACUAGUUCAACGUCUUACUAAAUCCCAGGUGAUGUACUGUGUUUCUAGGUUUUACUAUUGCAUUAUUCAUGGUGGAGAAGUUUUCUUUGUUUUGUUUUUUUCUUUAAAUUUUAAUUACAGUUUAUGACAAGAGCAUUAAUAAUUUGUUCAUUUACCGUAUGGGGUGGUUGGCUGACUUGGGAGACUUUUGGCGGUCAUUAUAAAAAGUAAACGUAUAAUAAGUCUCCCUUUUUAAAUUUAAAAAUUCCAAAUUGGCGACAAUAUCCAUCAGUACUAUGUCUUACGCUCGAUCGGCCAAAUGCAUGCAUGAGCAUGAUUAAUGUGAAACCAUGUGCAAGGAAUAAAUUUUCCUAGUCAACACAAAACCUUAUCCUUCGUUUUCUUGUGUGAAUUUUCUCUAUUGCAGUCAGGUGGCCCUGAAUAUGAUGUCCCCUUGGGGAGGCGAGAUGGUCUCAACUUUGCAACGCAAAAUGCAACGUUAGCCAACCUGCCACCACCCACUGCAAAUGCGAGCACAAUUCUCAGAUCUCUCGCCGCCAAGAAUCUCGAUGCCACCGACGUGGUAGCCCUGUCUGGUGGUCACACCAUUGGUAUAGGUCACUGUGGCUCUUUCACCGAGCGCCUCUAUCCAACCCAAGAUCCCACGAUGGAGAAAACCUUUGCUGAGGAUCUCAAGGGAAUUUGCCCUACAAAUAGCUCUACCAACACCACUGUGCUAGAUAUCAGGUCCCCUAAUAAAUUUGACAAUAAGUACUAUGUUGAUCUCGUGAACCGCCAAGGCCUGUUUACCUCAGACCAAGACCUGUACUCGUACAAGAAGACAAGGGGCAUCGUCACAAGCUUUGCUGAAGAUGAAGCUUUGUUCUUUGAGAAGUUCGUGGUUGCAAUGAUCAAAAUGUCACAGCUUA
rnacentral:lncRNA from 1 species